GGUUAAGUGACUAAGCGUACACGGUGGAUGCCUUGGCAGUUGGAGGCGAUGAAGGACGUAUUAACUUGCGAUAAGCCUAGUCAAGCUAGUAAAAAGCGCUUGAGACUAGGAUUUCCGAAUGGGGAAACCCACCUGCUUGCAGGUAUCGUUAACUGAAUACAUAGGUUAACGAGGCGAACGCGGAGAACUGAAACAUCUAAGUACCCGUAGGAAAAGAAAUCAACCGAGAUUCCGAAAGUAGCGGCGAGCGAAAUCGGAACAGCCCUUAAGCUUAUUAUGUGUUAAUGGAAGGCUCUGGAAAGUGCCACGAUACAGGGUGAUAGUCCCGUACAUGAAAAGACAUUUUAAGUGAAAUCGAGUAGGUCGGAGCACGUGAAACUUUGACUGAAUAUAGGUGGACCAUCAUCUAAGGCUAAAUACUCCCAACUGACCGAUAGUGAACCAGUACCGUGAGGGAAAGGCGAAAAGAACCCCUGUGAGGGGAGUGAAAUAGAACCUGAAACCGUGUACGUACAAGCAGUAGGAGCCUACUUGUUAGGUGACUGCGUACCUUUUGUAUAAUGGGUCAGCGACUUAUAUUUUGUAGCGAGGUUAACCGUAUAGGGUAGCCGUAGGGAAACCGAGUCUUAACUGGGCGAAUAGUUGCAAGGUAUAGACCCGAAACCCGGUGAUCUAGCCAUGAGCAGGUUGAAGGUUGAGUAACAUCAACUGGAGGACCGAACCCACUAACGUUGAAAAGUUAGGGGAUGACUUGUGGCUAGGAGUGAAAGGCUAAUCAAACCGGGAGAUAGCUGGUUCUCCCCGAAAUCUAUUUAGGUAGAGCCUCGGACGAAUACUUACGGGGGUAGAGCACUGUUAAGGCUAGGGGGUCAUCCCGACUUACCAACCCUUUGCAAACUCCGAAUACCGUAAAGUAAUAUCCGGGAGACACACGGCGGGUGCUAACGUCCGUCGUGAAGAGGGAAACAACCCAGACCGCCAGCUAAGGUCCCAAAGUCAUAGUUAAGUGGGAAACGAUGUGGAAAGGCCCAGACAGCCAGGAGGUUGGCUUAGAAGCAGCCAUCCUUUAAAGAAAGCGUAAUAGCUCACUGGUCGAGUCGGUCUGCGCGGAAGAUGUAACGGGGCUAAACUAUGCACCGAAGCUGCGGAUUCAACGUUUACGUUGAGUGGUAGGGGAGCGUUCUGUAAGCCGUUGAAGGUG
rnacentral:rRNA from 1 species